rnacentral:rRNA from 1 species
CCUACGGGUGGCAGCAGUGAGGAAUCUUGGUCAAUGGACGAGAGUCUGAACCAGCCAAGUAGCGUGAAGGAUGACUGCCCUAUGGGUUGUAAACUUCUUUUAUAUGGGAAUAAAACAGGGUAUGCAUCCCCUCUUGUAUGUACCAUAUCAAUAAGGAUAGGCUAACGACGUGCCAGCCGCCGCGGUAAUACGUAGGGGGCGAGCGUUAUCCGGCAUGACUGGGCUUAAAGGGUUCGUAGGUUGGUUGGAAAGUUAGUAGCGUAACUCCAAGGCUCAACCUUGGAACGACUACUAAAACUGGUGGACUUGAGUGCAGGAGGGGCAACCGGAAUUCCUAGUGUAGCGGUGGAAUGCGUAGAUAUUAGGAGGAAUACCAGUGGCGAAGGCGGGUUGCUGGACUGUAACUGACACUGAGGCGCGAAAGCGUGGGGAGCAAACAGGAUUAGAUACCCGAGUAGUC